GACGAACGCUGGCGGCGUGCUUAACACAUGCAAGUCGAACGGAAAGGCCCUGCUUUUGUGGGGUGCUCGAGUGGCGAACGGGUGAGUAACACGUGAGUAACCUGCCCUUGACUUUGGGAUAACUUCAGGAAACUGGGGCUAAUACCGGAUAGGAGCUCCUGCUGCAUGGUGGGGGUUGGAAAGUUUCGGCGGUUGGGGAUGGACUCGCGGCUUAUCAGCUUGUUGGUGGGGUAGUGGCUUACCAAGGCUUUGACGGGUAGCCGGCCUGAGAGGGUGACCGGCCACAUUGGGACUGAGAUACGGCCCAGACUCCUACGGGAGGCAGCAGUGGGGAAUAUUGCACAAUGGGCGGAAGCCUGAUGCAGCAACGCCGCGUGCGGGAUGACGGCCUUCGGGUUGUGAACCGCUUUCACCUGUGACGAAGCGUGAGUGACGGUAAUGGGUAAAGAAGCACCGGCUAACUACGUG
rnacentral:rRNA from 1 species